CCCUCCCAACCUCCAUUGCCAGCACCCCUAAGCUCCAAAUCCCUUUUUUUUGCCGGCGAAAUUCAUUGCUGCGAGCAAGCCUUGGCUCAAUUCCUCGCAGCUACACCUUCCCAUCGAUGUCGCGCAUCCGUUUUGCCGCCUCCAGGCCGUCCUCCCUUGCCGGGCAAGUCUCCCCAUGGGAGCCCCCUUGGCACAUCUUCUGGUUGCCGUGAAGCCCUUUGCUGCGCCGUCCCCUCCUCAUCGCAGCGCUGCUGGUGAGCAUCCCCUAGCCUAGGACACCGUUUCCCCACUGCUAUCCCUCCCCUAAGCCACACCAUCCUAACCUCCCUGUCGUGGCUGGCCAAGAGCCCGUGCAAGUCUGUGCCGUGCUGCUUCUAUUUUGUGAUGCGCAGGGGUGUGUUUGGAGAAGAAGGGAAAAGGAGAAGGGGUUAUGGGAAAAAUCCAAGGACCUAUACGUGAGUUUUCAGUAGAUCUGCGGGCUGUUUUGAAAGUUGGUCACGAUUUUCUUUUAUUUCCUAGAUUAAAUAGCUGCAAACUUUGAAAAGGUAUAGAAAAAUGUAGAAAAAAUGGGAAAAUAUGAAACUUGUUUUGUUGGAUUUUUUGUGAUGUCUAGUUUAUUUCAAAAAUGAUUUUUGUGCAUGUUACUAUUUUGCAGUAGGAUCUAUGAUUUAUUUUGUGUGGAAGCCAUUAAGUGCCUUAUAAAUAACAUAGUGCUCUAAAAAUUGUGAAGCCACUUUUGUUAGUUCACUUGUAGCAUGCAUGUUCAGAUCUGAAACUUGUACUACUAGUCUAGGUGAUGUUCAUGUUGUUUUAGAUUUAAAAUUCUUAAAUGCUUAGUUAUGUUGUUUAAAAUUCAGAAACAAGAUAACUUUCCAAAUGAAUGAUGAACAACACAAAAAUGACCACCACCUUUCUUUGAUGAAUUCUAAGUUAUUCAAACCUUAUAUGUGUACACAAUCACCAUCAAACAAAAGCCAUAUUUUCAUUCCAACCAAACUUGUUGUGUGAAGAAAAGAAAUGUUAAACUUGUCUAGGUGAAUGUGUUCGAAGUGCACCGUGAGAUUUUACAAUGUUUACGAAAUGCAACCUACAUUGUGAACGUUUAUAAAUGAAAUCUUAUGCAUAUGCAUCUAGUGUAGAAGCUAACCUCGCUGACGGAACAUACGAUCUCGGCCUGGAACGCGAAGAAGGACACCCUCUUGCUGAGCUGAACGUGGUCGAGGCAACCCAAGGCCCGAACCAAAGUUCGGAAGAGCCCAAGGCUGAGUUAGGGCAAGAAGGCAAGCCUCGGAGCAUAACCCUGGUUUCGAAAAUUAUGCACUACUUAUGCUAGUUAUGUUUGUGCAUUAAGUUUAUAGGAGUUGCUUGAAACCUCAGUUGCAUGAUCCUAGGUAUCUAUGUGUUGAAUACUAAUAUGUUAAGUCGUGUAGUUGUUAUGCUAAAUAGGGACACGGUAAAAUUCGAGUGAUUUCCAGUCACUCGCGAGCUAUAGGAGUUCCCUAUUUACUUAUGUUGGAAUCAUAAGGAUUGACGAGCGGGGCUGAGCUAUAUGUUCUGGAUUGGUGGAUUGCCCUGUCUGUCUAGUGGAAAAAUAUGCUAAGGUCGAAUCGUGACGGUGUUCGUGGUCAAGUGUUUGAAUGUACUAAGCUCAUACCUAGUAUGGGAUGGGGAAGCCUAGUACCUGAUUGAACUGGUGUGGACCUUUCCCCCGUUCUCUCUGGAACUGGGUUCCCAUGUGGCCACAUUGGGUACAAGUGCAGUCACGGUACAGCGUCGUUCUGGGACCGGUGGGGCCUCGUAUCCAAGGGAAGUGGUAUCUGGAUAAACAUCGCGAAUUGACGGGAACCGCUGAUAUAUGCGAACCUGGCACGAUAGUAGCAUAUAUUGUGGGUUUGGGUCCACCUGGCAAGGUUAAGAAACUCGAUUCGAAUCGUCUGCCUCUCACAGUUUGAGACUGCUUGAUCACUAUGCUGCACUGAGUAAGAGGUGGAACAAAGGAUGAUGAAUGAUAAUGAUGCUUGUUUAAUUUGCUUGUUCACCAUGCUUGCUUAGAAUAGGUGCUUACCUAGAAUGGAUAAUCAACUAGAACCUGAUGCUAAAACUUGAAAGUAAGGAUCCACAUUAGAAUGAGUUAGGGUUGAGGUGGACUAGUUCCAAAUGGUAGUACUUCAGCAAUCCCUGAAGAACUCGGAUGACGGCAACGCCAGCCCACGCUCGAUGAAAUGCGCGAAGAUUACUGUCUCAUCCGAGUAGCUCUCGAAAGGCCACGUAUUUCUGGCUGCUUCUCUCCAAUCUAUGAAUUCCUUCUCCUGGAGUAGAUUGGCAAGCACUAGUACCUGGAUCUUCACGUACUUGGGCGCAGGCAGCUGGACCUCCUUCUCUUUCUUGGCGGCCUUGCGCUUCUUCGAUUCUGCCGCCUUGCUCGAGGAUGCCUUCUUGGGCACCAUUGCUCUAAUGGUCUUCUGGCGCAUCAGCUAGAUAGCUAUACAGUGGGGGGUAGCAGCGCUCAAGGACGGCAAGCGGUGGCACUAGGGUAACAGUGCUCGGGGAAUGCAUGUCGUGGCGCUAGGGUGACAGUGGAGAAGAUGAAUGGCCGAGUGCACUAGUUUGGGUAAAUAGAAGGGAUAAUAUUCCUCCGUCAUUUAUAAACACGGCACAAGGUAACUGAGCGGCGAAGAUUACAAGGAAUAUUCCAUUUUUUAAGCCAUCAGUUAUCGUCGGAACGGUUACCAAGUUUUUCAGAAGAGAUAAGUUUUCUGAAAGACGAACGGUCACAUUGGACCAGUGGUUGACCCUUAUACCCAAAAUAGUCGUAUAACGGCUCGGGGGCUGCAUGCCACGUGCCCGUUGGACAAAAAGUUUUUUCUUCAAGUUUUAAGGGGAAAAAUGUGAAAUUACAAGAUUGACCCUCAACCUAAUUCUUCCAUUCAAUCUAAGGCUUCGGGGCUACUCCAUAUGGAGUGCGAUUUUUUCAAAUCACGCUUCCAUAUAAGAUUGAAGAUUCAAGGCUAAGUUAAAUGAGGCUUGAGCAGCUUCUAGCCGCAUGGCAGUACUCGAGCACAUUCGAGGACUCAAUCCAACGGAGUGCUCAAAAGAAGCUAAAGUGCAUGCACAAGAAGUAAGAAUGCAGAAAGUAAUUAAUCAGUGAGUGGCCCAAACAGUUACUGAGAUGGCCCAAUCUGGAGCACUGCUGGAUCCCAACAUCGUCGUUAGGCCUUCUCAACGCCGAAGCAGUUGUGCUUCCACAGGGGUCCCCGAUGAGAACAUGCCAAGAUUACCCAUGGUUACGCAGGAGCACCAACGGUACCCUAUGGAUGACAUCACUCAGCGCACCCCAUGUGAGCUGUACAGACCAUUUGGCAACAUCACUAUUAAGGUGGCGUACGGAAGUGCUUUACCAAUCCUGCCAGGACAGAAAAGCCAUGGCAUGGAGAUUCCACCUGGCUACUCCAGCGUUGGCCUAGAGCAGAUUUGUGAUAGUCAAUAUGUUGGCCUAGAGCUUGACCUCCCGCGAGGCGAUGGGAAAAGGACACUAGGAGAUGCACUUCACAGUCUCAUUCUAUGGCGCAAACGCUACACCAUCAUCCCCGGUAAGGAGGCAUCAUUGCUUCCCAUAGAUCCCCCGUAGCCACCGUCUCCUCAGAACUCAAAACGGUCAUCUCCAGCACAUCCACCUCCAGGACCGUCGUCACCACCGAGACCGUCACAUCCUACUCGAUCACCGUCUCCAUCUCCAUCGAAUCUUAGUGGUGCGAGCGAGGACGACCAAAACACCCCUCCUCGAUCACUAUUGCCGGGACUAAACUCUAGUGCGACCAAGGAACCUGCAGCACCUCUCAAGAAGUCGCGACCACCGCCUUCCAAGCUAAGGCAGCCAAAGGCAAAAGAACCUGUUAAGAAAACAAAAAAGUCUGAACCCAUGAACAAUCUAGCAGGCGAUAUGACUUCUAAGGAAUUGCAGUAGGCAUCGCAAACACAGGUGAGGGAGUUCUUCCAAGCAUGCGCUGAACAAAGAAAAGUGAAGAUGAUGGAGCCAAAGCUAGUAUAUCUAGCAAAAUUAGAUUUUUUAUUGGCAUGAAAAAAGAAAUAAAGAAGACUUUACUAUCGAACUACAAUCGUUCGUUAGUUAAGUCUUAUCACAAGAAAAAAAUAAGGAGAGUCAUCUUCCAGUCGUACUAUCCCCAGCUUAGGCAGCAAGCAGGUAAAGACGAUCAAGCUAUAACAGCUUUGCCCUAAGAACAAGAAUUCCAAGUCAUUACAUUUAUGGAAGAUACAGAUCUGUCACUUGCUGAAGUUCUAGGGCAAGCUGAAUCGCCAGCUCCAGAAAAGAUUGUACCUAAAUGGCCCUUUGAGGUAGGCAAGCCUCUAGUGAGGCCUGAAUUGGUACGGAAGCUCUCUAGGAAGAUGUAUGAAUUCCAUCAAUAGUACAAGGAGUAGUCAGCCAAGGAAAGGAUCAUGUUCGCUCUUCGUGUUAAAUCGAUUGAUUUUUCAGUGAAGGUGAGAAACUCCUGUGGUUGCAAUUAAAGGAUAUAUAUAAAGUGUACCAUCAGGAUGCCCUUGACAUCUCUCUCAUCAGCGCUUGGGUUCUGAUGCUAAUUCAGAUGUGCUGCAGAGAAUCCUACUUCAACAUUGGCUUCAUGGAUCCAUCUCUCAUUAACCAAGAUCAGAUAUGAGAUCAACCAAAGCAUACAUUAGACGCAAUAUACACUUCCUUGAAGCAACAAAAUUACAAGCAAUACAUACUACUGUCAUACAACUUUAAGUAAGUGUGGGUACCGUCUAUUUUCGUUUUCCUUUUCCUUACCUAAUUAGUGUUAGUUAGUUCUAAUAUGAACAUUUAUGUACGCAGUUUCCACUGGAUUCUCCUUGUAAUUAACAUUGAUAAAAUUAACAUUAUUGUGUUCGAUUCAUCGAGAAAACCACCGGUGGAGUACAAAGACAUUCAAGACAUGCUAAACUUCAGCAUCGAAACGAUUCCAUAAGACUCACCAUGGUAAAUUGAAAGAAAAACUUACACUCAAUACAACAUUCCCGGUACGUAUGAAGUUUGCACAUUUUGUACAUUCUAUAACACGAAUAUUUCAUAACUUAUUUUUUUCCUACUAAAGUGCUUGGGACAGCAACAAAGCAAUAAUUUAUGUGGAUACUACGUCUGUGAGCACAUGAGUAAUUUUGUGCGGAACAAGGUGAUAUCGGCUAUUAAUAAUUAAUUAUUUUCUAGCUCCUUAUAUUUAAUUGUUCGUGUAAUAUUCACAUAUUUUCAAAUUACAAAUAUUGCGGAUUAAAUAAGAACUCUUGGAGAAGGAGAUGCUUUUGACAAUCCAAGAAACUCUCGUAGGAUUUCUGGUGGACGAGGUGAUAAAUCCCGUAGGAGAAUUUUAUUACGACGGAGAUUCAGUAGCCGAACGGAGCAACACCACAACGGGAGGAUCCUAAGAAUGAAGACGGCAAAUUAUUAUAUAUAUAGUAAUUAUAUAAAUACUAGUUUGAUGUGUAUAAUAUACUAAGAAUUGUAUAUAUAUAGUACUAUCAUGAAAUAUAUAUACGACUUGCAUACAAUAUGAGCGUAUACGUGUAAGUAGUGUAUGCUAAGGAUGUAUAUGUAUAUAUAUGUGAAGCAACAAUUAGCAUUAAUAUGGAAAAGAUUUUUUAAAA